CAUUGUAAAAGAUCCAAGCAUGAUAUCAGGAGUAAAAAAAGGUUGAAACAGAUUAACAAAGGUUGAGGAAUUUCACUACACUCCUAAAAAUGAUUCAGUCUGACAUUGACGUUUGACAUUGUAGUGGGUAUAAAUUAACCUGUGCUGUCCAUUUACGCACUACUUUCUUUUAAAAAAACUGCGCGAUUUAAGAUUUAAACACGAAACUUACAGAAUACAACAUUUUCUACUGAAUUAAUUUACCUGAUAGUUUUACAUUAUACGAUGUGACAAUCAAUUUACAUGGAUUGCAUUUGCCAUGAAGUAACACUUUCUAUGUGUAGCUAAGUUAAAUCGUUGAAGAAUGAAAUAAUAUAUUUUCCUUUUCUACAAAAAAAAAUAGAUUAUAAAGCGUAUAACAACAGUAACGAAGAGUGUAAUAGGACAUAUCAGAAAAAAUGAGGCAGAUAUUACGAAGGAAUCAACUUUCCCAACGUCACGGAUUCAACAGUAGACAGCUAACAAAGGAGUUAUGUAUUGUGUUUCACAUUUCAACACAGCAAUUUUUAUACAUGUGCUUGAGAGUUGUGUUUUGUUACAUAGAUGUUUUACAGUAACUUAAACAUUGAACCUUAAGGAGUAAAAUCUAUUCUACCGACAAACAUAAUAAUUAUGAUGGAUAAAAGAUGAAACAUCUUAAACAUAAAUCAUUUUGUUGACCACAAUGUAAACAAACAUUGUGCUUCUGGAAAUAAAUAUACAUUGUUUUUCAUAAUCAUACCAAUAUUCAUUUUGUAAAUUUUAUAUCAAAUACAA
rnacentral:lncRNA from 1 species